GAUUUUGGUCGCCAACGAGUGGCGGACGGGUGAGUAACACGUAGGUAACCUGCCCAGAAGCGGGGGACAACAUUUGGAAACAGAUGCUAAUACCGCAUAACARCGUUGUUCGCAUGAACAACGCUUAAAAGAUGGCUUCUCGCUAUCACUUCUGGAUGGACCUGCGGUGCAUUAGCUUGUUGGUGGGGUAAYGGCCUACCAAGGCGAUGAUGCAUAGCCGAGUUGAGAGACUGAUCGGCCACAAUGGGACUGAGACACGGCCCAUACUCCUACGGGAGGCAGCAGUAGGGAAUCUUCCACAAUGGGCGCAAGCCUGAUGGAGCAACACCGCGUGAGUGAAGAAGGGUUUCGGCUCGUAAAGCUCUGUUGUUAAAGAAGAACACGUAUGAGAGUAACUGUUCAUACGUUGACGGUAUUUAACCAGAAAGUCACGGCUAACUACGUGCCAGCAGCCGCGGUAAUACGUAGGUGGCAAGCGUUAUCCGGAUUUAUUGGGCGUAAAGAGAGUGCAGGCGGUUUUCUAAGUCUGAUGUGAAAGCCUUCGGCUUAACCGGAGAAGUGCAUCGGAAACUGGAUAACUUGAGUGCAGAAGAGGGUAGUGGAACUCCAUGUGUAGCGGUGGAAUGCGUAGAUAUAUGGAAGAACACCAGUGGCGAAGGCGGCUACCUGGUCUGCAACUGACGCUGAGACUCGAAAGCAUGGGUAGCGAACAGGAUUAGAUACCCUGGUAGUCCAUGCCGUAAACGAUGAGUGCUAGGUGUUGGAGGGUUUCCGCCCUUCAGUGCCGGAGCUAACGCAUUAAGCACUCCGCCUGGGGAGUACGACCGCAAGGUUGAAACUCAAAGGAAUUGACGGGGGCCCGCACAAGCGGUGGAGCAUGUGGUUUAAUUCGAAGCUACGCGAAGAACCUUACCAGGUCU
rnacentral:rRNA from 1 species